UACGUAGGGUGCAAGCGUUAAUCGGAAUUACUGGGCGUAAAGCGUGCGCAGGCGGUUUUGUAAGACAGGCGUGAAAUCCCCGGGCUCAACCCGGGAAUUGCGCUUGUGACUGCAAAGCUGGAGUGCGGCAGAGGGGGAUGGAAUUCCGCGUGUAGCAGUGAAAUGCGUAGAUAUGCGGAGGAACACCAAUGGCGAAGGCAAUCCCCUGGGCCUGUACUGACGCUCAUGCACGAAAGCGUGGGGAGCAAACAGG
rnacentral:rRNA from 1 species